GGACUACUGGGGUAUCUAAUCCUGUUUGCUCCCCACGCUUUCGUGCCUGAGCGUCAGUGUUAGCCCAGGGGGCUGCCUUCGCCAUCGGUGUUCCUCCACAUCUCUACGCAUUUCACUGCUACACGUGGAAUUCCACCCCCCUCUGCCACACUCUAGCCUGCCAGUCCUCAAUGCCAUUCCCAGGUUAAGCCCGGGGCUUUCACAUCAAGCUUAGCAAACCGCCUGCGCACGCUUUACGCCCAGUAAUUCCGAUUAACGCUCGCACCCUACGUAUUACCGCGGCUGCUGGCAC
rnacentral:rRNA from 1 species